CAUGCAGCUGCUGGGAGCUGGAUGUUGGGCUGGCCAAGCCCACCUCUGGGGGUCUCCGCUAUGGUGCUAUUUUGUGAGGCUUCCCCAAAACCUUUACUUCCAUCCUGGUAACCCACAGAAAAAUCAUAUUUCAUCUUCUUUCUCACUGACAAACCAAAAGCUAGCUAACAAAACCCACAGAAUGUCUCCGCCGUAUCUUUCCAUCUGCUCAAAGACUGCGUAGAGAAGCUGCCACCAGCUGGGUGGCUCUGUGAUCGUGAGCAGUCUGUGACAGGAGGCAUGGCGCUUGCCAUUCAGAGUUGGUGUUCGGCACUGCCUGAUCUCACCUGGCUGCUCCCGGCUUGUCACGACACCAGCAUCUCCCUGGUAGACCUGCCACUGUCACGUGCCGCGGGAUCCCUGAUACAGCAGCCCGUAUGCAGUUCCAGUCCGGUAGGAUGUGGGGCAAAGCCCUUGGGGGGACGGGCUUGAACAGAACAGGCUCGUCCUGGCCUUGCCCUGACCUUUGGUGGGCAAGAGAAGCAGGGAAAGAUUAUAAAGCCAGAAGGGACCAUUGUGAUCACCUUGUUUGACCUCCAUGAUGGCAGAGGCUAUAGGACAUUGCCAAACGGACCCCGUUUAAUCCUUACUGAAUGUAUGAGAAAUGGGGAACCCACCGUAGUCAUGGGUGAAGAGUUCCAGUAGCGGGCUACCCUCACCGUUAUAAAAAAUUGUCCCUUC